rnacentral:tRNA from 1 species
GGCUAUAGCUCAGCUGGGAGAGCGCUACGCUGGCAGCGUAGAGGUCAGGGGUUCGAGCCCCCUUGGCUCCA